ACAAAGAUUGGAGAAGCUGCUAGGACACUUCAUAUAAACUAAAGAUUCAAGUUUUCAUGUUCGGUAACAGUACACCAGUUGGGCAAUUUGGAUCAUGUUAUGCUCAGUGAAUUUUGUCUAUGCGCAGGUUAAAGACUCUCAAAUUGAUUUUAAACUUCUACCCAAACUUCGAAUUAUUUCAUUAUUGGAUGUUUUCAUCUGCAUAAAUCGAAGCAAGGGGGAGAUGAAGGAGGUUAUUGGCUUCUUUUAACUUUCGAUAUGAUCUUUCGUAUAUUUGAUGGCAGAUCAGUGUAUAGGUAGAAGAAUGUACUGUUUCUUUCAGUCUAUGU